rnacentral:rRNA from 1 species
UACGAAGGGUGCAAGCGUUAAUCGGAAUUACUGGGCGUAAAGGGUGCGUAGGCGGUUAGUUAAGUCUGUCGUGAAAUCCCCGGGCUCAACCUGGGAAUGGCGAUGGAUACUGGACAGCUAGAGUGUGUCAGAGGAUGGUGGAAUUCCCGGUGUAGCGGUGAAAUGCGUAGAGAUCGGGAGGAACAUCAGUGGCGAAGGCGGCCAUCUGGGACAACACUGACGCUGAAGCACGAAAGCGUGGGGAGCAAACAGG